rnacentral:rRNA from 1 species
UACGUAGGGUGCGAGCGUUGUCCGGAAUUAUUGGGCGUAAAGAGCUUGUAGGCGGUUUGUCGCGUCUGCUGUGAAAAUCCGGGGCUCAACCCCGGACUUGCAGUGGGUACGGGCAGGCUAGAGUGUGGUAGGGGAGACUGGAAUUCCUGGUGUAGCGGUGAAAUGCGCAGAUAUCAGGAGGAACACCGGUGGCGAAGGCGGGUCUCUGGGCCGAUACUGACGCUGAGGAGCGAAAGCGUGGGGAGCAAACAGG